GGAUCAGAAAACCUCCAUUCAGUCUGCAACGGUGAUCAAGAACUUCAAGUCGCGUCUCCCACACUUGUGAGCCAAUCCUCAGUAACGAGAAGGAAGGCAAGCCAGGUACCGAGAGGAUAUCAAAUUGAUCUCAAGUUCAUCAACAGCUUAUUAGAUUGAAGUCCCCAUAGUGAACCCUUAGGAGUGACCUCCUUUCCUGAUGAAUCCAGGUUGAGAUUGGCAGGGCCCAAACUUGAGUACAAGAAGAAAGGGUGUGAUGAUUUCUUACUACCAGACAAGAGUAAACCCAUAAGAGUACGAUUCACCCUGACCCCCCACUUUUCCAGUCAGCUGAUGGCACAGUGAGAUCAGCGCCGGGCUCAAGAACGGAAGUUCCCAAGUUCGAUCCAGUGACAGACCGCUCCCGGGUGCACCGGGUUGAUGUCGAGCUCACAACUCGACCUCGUAAAAAACACUGCCACCUCCAGUUUCAAUUCCCACAUGGAAUAUUGAGGAGGAUCAAAUACCCAAACCCAGCACAGCCCCCACUUGUCCCAUUUAACCUGUCUCAAUACGGUGGACUUUAGGACCCAGGGAAUUCAGUGCAGUGGUCCUUAGGACCCGGCUGAGCUUGGGACCUGCCGCCCACAGUGUUUCUGUUCCAUUGCUGGGAAACAAUCAUAAUUCAAAAUAAAGUGGAAAUAAUAAAGCAUUUGGAAAGAGGUGAAAUGUCAUCAGUCAUUGGAAAAGCGUUAGGCUACGGUUGGUCAAUGAUUGGAACAAUUUUAAAGGAUAAAGGAUAAAGUGAGAAUAAUGGAGCAUAUGAAAGGCCCUGCCCCGAUGAAAGCUACAAUUAUUACUAAGCAACGCAGUGGUUUAAUUAUUGGAAUACAUACGUGUCUUUUAAGUGUUUUAUAUGCAUAGAAAGAUAAAAUAUAUGCUAUAUAUUAAGACAAACGUUUGACUAACUGACACUAAAUAAUACCGGAUGUACUUGUUCCGACUUAUGUACAAAUCCGACUUAAAGAUGGACUCAGGAACAGAACUCGUUCGUAACCCGGGGACUGCCUGUACUAAUUUUAACAGCAGCCAGUCUUCAGACCUGAAAAUGGAUUGCAGAUUGAAUUUAAAACGCAACUUUGAACAAUGGCCACAGAAGCCUGCAUAUAUGCACGAAUGGCCCAGGGUCAGUGGAAAUUAAUGUUCAUUUUGGGUGUCUGGAGUGUGGGUGCAAAUAAGGACGUGUUUGAAAACUAUAUGUAAUUCAAAAGAAGCAUUGUACAUAUAUUGAAACUUUGGAAUCGUCCCACUGUUACAUUUGAUCUUUAGCAUAUAAAAAUGUAAUGUAAUAUUGAGUCCAUCAGGGCUUUUCUUCCAAAAGUGUCUCAAUAUGAUGCCAGUUGCUCAUUUUU